UACGGAGGAUCCGAGCGUUAUCCGGAUUUAUUGGGUUUAAAGGGUGCGUAGGCUGUUCGGUAAGUUAGAGGUGAAAGGUCAACGCUUAACGUUGAAACUGCCUCUGAUACUGCCGGGCUAGAGUUUAGUUGCUGUGGGCGGAAUGAGUAGUGUAGCGGUGAAAUGCUUAGAUAUUACUCAGAACACCGAUUGCGAAGGCAGCUCACAAAGCUAUAACUGACGCUGAGGCACGAAAGCGUGGGGAUCAAACAGG
rnacentral:rRNA from 1 species